rnacentral:tRNA from 1 species
ACUCCCUUAGUAUACCCAGUACAGUUGACUUCCAAUCAGCU